rnacentral:rRNA from 1 species
CCUACGGGGUGCUGCAGUGGGGAAUAUUGGACAAUGGGCGAAAGCCUGAUCCAGCCAUGCCGCGUGUGUGAAGAAGGCCUUCGGGUUGUAAAGCACUUUCAGUGGGGAAGAAAGCCUUGGGGCUAAUACCCUCGAGGAAGGACAUCACCCACAGAAGAAGCACCGGCUAACUCCGUGCCAGCAGCCGCGGUAAUACGGAGGGUGCGAGCGUUAAUCGGAAUUACUGGGCGUAAAGCGCGCGUAGGCGGUCUGAUAAGCCGGUUGUGAAAGCCCCGGGCUCAACCUGGGAACGGCAUCCGGAACUGUCAGGAUAGAGUGCAGGAGAGGAAGGUAGAAUUCCCGGUGUAGCGGUGAAAUGCGUAGAGAUCGGGAGGAAUACCAGUGGCGAAGGCGGCCUUCUGGACUGACACUGACGCUGAGGUGCGAAAGCGUGGGUAGCAAACAGGAUUAGAUACCCUGGUAGUC